UCCGGUGAUGAUGGCAAAGAGGACACACCCGUACCCAUACCGAACACGGAAGUUAAGCUCUUUAGCGUCGAGAGUAGUUGGGGGCUUCCCCCUGCGAGCGUAGAACGUUGCCGGGU
rnacentral:rRNA from 1 species